rnacentral:rRNA from 1 species
UACGUAGGGUGCAAGCGUUGUCCGGAAUUAUUGGGCGUAAAGAGCUCGUAGGCGGUCUGUCGCGUCUGCUGUGAAAACUCAGGGCUUAACCCUGAGCUUGCAGUGGGUACGGGCAGACUAGAGUGCGGUAGGGGAGACUGGAAUUCCUGGUGUGGCGGUGAAAUGCGCAGAUAUCAGGAGGAACACCGGUGGCGAAGGCGGGUCUCUGGGCCGUAACUGACGCUGAGGAGCGAAAGCAUGGGGAGCGAACAGG